GUAGGAGAGAGCAUUAACACAACAGAAAGCUUGGAAAAUAAAUGUUGUCCUUCCAAAAUCAGCUAUGAACUGAAGUGUUAUACCCCAUUUAAAGACAAUUUGCAGCUGACAUUUCGGUUGUUUGUGCUUGGAGCAGGAGGAUUUUUUAUUUUGGGGUGUCUACCAUUUUGUUGCUGUGCCUGUUUGCAGAGGAGUCAAUGCGUCAAUCCUUUACGAAGUGCAAGUAAAGAAGUAGAACAAAUCGUGCAGAAGAAAAGAGCACGUAGUGAAAAUAUUCAUGGGUUUUUAUCGAAUUUACUUAAGAAAAACUCCAAGGACCAUAAGAGCAAGAAAAAAGGUAAACUAAACUGUUCUUGGAGUAUUCUUUUGUCCUUUCAGUUUAGUAUUGUUGUUUUACCAUCAAUUCUAUAUAAAGUACUAAACAUAUACAGUACUAAAUACUACAGCCAGUAUUAUUUUGCAGAAAUGUAA
rnacentral:lncRNA from 1 species